GACGAACGCUGGCGGCGUGCUUAACACAUGCAAGUCGAACGGAAAGGCCCCUUUUGGGGUCCUCGCGUGGCGAACGGGUGAGUAACACGUAAGUAACCUUCCCUUGCCUUCCUGUUAACUUCAGUAAACUGGGUCUAAUACCGACUAGGAAUCCUUUCUUCCUGGUGGGGGUUGGAAAGCUUCUGCGGUUUUGGUUGGACUCGCGCUUUAUCAGCUUGUUGGUGGGGUAGUUGGUUACCAACGGUUUCACGGGUAGCCGGCCUGAGAGGGCGGCCGGCCACAUUGGGACUGGGGUAAGGCCCAGAAUCCGAAGGGAGGCAGCAGGGGGGAAUAAUGCACAAUGGGCGGAAGGCUGAUGCAGCAACGCCGCGGGCGGGAAGAAGGGCUUCGGGUUGUAAACCGGUUUCAGCAGGGGAGAAGCUUGUGGUGACGGUACCUGCAGAAGAAGCACCGGCUAACUACGUG
rnacentral:rRNA from 1 species